rnacentral:rRNA from 1 species
UACAGAGGUCUCAAGCGUUGUUCGGAUUCAUUGGGCGUAAAGGGUGCGUAGGCGGCGCGGUAAGUCGGGUGUGAAAUCUCGGGGCUUAACUCCGAAACUGCAUUCGAUACUGCCGUGCUUGAGGACUGGAGAGGAGACUGGAAUUUACGGUGUAGCGGUGAAAUGCGCAGAUAUCAGGAGGAACACCGGUGGCGAAGGCGGGUCUCUGGGCCGUAACUGACGCUGGAGGAGCGAAAGCGUGGGGAGCGAACAGG